AGCGAACGCUGGCGGCAGGCCUAACACAUGCAAGUCGAACGAACCUUUCGGGGUUAGUGGCGGACGGGUGAGUAACACGUGGGAACGUGCCGUUAGGUUCGGAAUAACUCAGGGAAACUUGUGCUAAUACCGAAUGUGCUCUUCGGGGGAAAGAUUCAUCGCCUUUAGAGAGGCCCGCGUCUGAUUAGCUAGUUGGUUGAGGUAAUGGCUCACCAAGGCGACGAUCAGUACCUGGUCUGGGAGGAUGAUCAGCCACAUUGGGACUGAGACACGGCCCAAACUCCUACGGGAGGCAGCAGUGGGGAAUCUUGCGCAAUGGGCGAAAGCCGGACGCAGCCAUGCCGCGUGAAUGAUGAAGGUCUUAGGAUUGUAAAAUUCUUUCACCGGGGACGAUAAUGACGGUACCCGGAGAAGAAGCCCCGGCUAACUUCGU
rnacentral:rRNA from 1 species